CUCUACCGAGGUCGCAGCUUCCGGCCGGAUCGGCUGGCGGAAUUUGCAGCUGGCUGCCCUUGGCCAUAGGGUCGUUGUUGCCACCCGGGCCGCAGCCAUCAUGGUGAGCCUCCUUCAGAUUGUGCGUGACCACUGGGUUCAUAUACUUGUCCCUUCGGGAUUUGUCCUUGGAUGUUUCCUAGACAGAAAGAAUGAUGAAAGGCUAACUGCCUUCCGGAACAAGAGUCUUUUAUAUAAAAGGGAAUUGAGGCCCAAUGAAGAAGUUACCUGGAAGUAAAGGCUGGCUAAUCACAGGAUGUUCACAUUUUAAAGUUAUGGAAGAAAUAAAAACUCAGUUAUUAUUUAAUUAGAAG